UGUGGUGUAACUCAAUUCCCGCUUGCGGGUUAGAUGGGUAGAGUAAGGCAUCAACAACCUGAGUGCGGGUUCGAUUCCCGCCACCACAC
rnacentral:tRNA from 1 species